GUCUUUUGAUCAUUAACAAAAUGCCUGGGCAGUGGGGACACUCACAGUUCCGGGUUUUAUCAGCAGCAUGACUCAGCCUCAGUUGUGCCUCAGUUUCUUCAGUAAAACUAAGGACUCACUGAGAGCCGCUCAGAGACAAAGGAGUUGAGUCUGUUUCCAUCCCGGGUCCGUCCUCUGUGCCUAUACUGAGUAUCUUGAAGGAGCCACAAUGAAAGGAAAUGACCUGCAAAGCAUCCAGUCACAGGAACAAGGCCAUCCAGGAUA